ensembl:lncRNA
GGAAACCGCCCGGGAAGCGAGCCGGGCCCUGCCCUCAGGGAGCUCUCCCAGGAGCCGGGAGCAGAGAGCGACGCGCGAGCGUAGGUAGCCGCCAGCUCUCCCCGAACCGUCCGUGGGGGAGUUGGGGAACUGUGUUUUCAGACACAGUGGUUUUGUAUCGUGAUCUCGACAGUGAGUUCAUCUUUUGUCAGCGAGUUUCAACUUUAGAAUUCCAUGAGGUUAUAUUUUGAAUAUUCGCCAUGUUCUGGGGAAGAGAUUCCGUGACCAGAAUGAAAACUCGGAGAGGGCAGGCACUUGUCAUACCAGUACCCGCUGCGCCUAAAGGGUGCCUGGCACAGAAUGAAUGCCCGGUGAAUAGUUUUCAGAUCGCUGAAGUCUGUGAAAGAGCGUUUCUGUUGUUUUAGUCUCUAAGUCGUGUCUGACUCUUGCGACCCCGUGGACUGUAGCCCGCCAGGCUCCUCUGUCCAUGAGAUUUCCCAGGCAAGAACACUGGAGUGGGUUGCCAUUUCCUUCUCCAGGGCAUCUUCCCCACCCAGGGACUGAACACGCGACUCCUGCGUUGGCAGCCUGAGCCACCUGGGAAGCUCUUAAAAGGGCAUGCUGCCCCCAAAGUUGGCAGUUCCUGGAUCUUUCUGACCCAGGGGAUGGAACCCGAGUCUUCUGCAUCGGCAGGCGAGUUCUUUACCACUGAGCCACCUGGGAAGCCUUGGCCGCUGGACCUCCAGUGUGCGGGGACAGACUUGUCAACGUUUUCCUUUAUAUUCACCGGCUUCUUUGCUUCGUUUCCCGGGCCCUUGCCCCAUCCCACGACUAUGAAAGCGCAUCUUCACCUACAUUGUCUCCUGGUGAGGAUACAACUUCAUCUCGUUGAAGGCCAAAGGCGAAGGGGGCGACGGAGGACAAGAUGGGUAGAUGGCAUCACUGACUCAAUGGCCAUGACUUUGAGCAAACCCUGGGAGUCCGUGAAGGACAGGGGCGCCUGGUGGGCAAAAUCGGACACAGCUGAGUGACUAACACUUUUACUUUUCACUUUUCUAAUGGCUGCUUUCGUGCCCCAGAGGCAGAACUGAGUGGUACUUGAGUCACAGACCACAUCACCUCCGAAGCCUAAAGUAUUUACUCUGGGACACCUUGGGACACCUCAGCUCAGCCCGUGUGUCUAGUGCUUCAGAACUUCACGUGGACCCAGCUUUGAGGAAAAUUCAAACAGAGCCCCUUACAGCGCAGCUGGUGCACCCACCUUCCUCUGAAGAGAAGGUCUGGGGCCCCUCGAGCUUGUGGCCUGCUGCUGCUGUUCAGAGGCUCACUCACGUCCGAGGGACCCCGGGGACUGCAGCUUCCGUGUCCAUGGGAUUUCCCAGGCGAGAACACUGGAGCGGCUUGCUCCACGGGAUCUUCCCGACCCACGGAUUGAACCUGGAUCUCCUGCCUUGGCAGGUUUUAGCUGCAGCACGUGGGGUCUAGUUCCCGGACCAGGGAUCAUGUCUGUGCCCCCUGCACGAGGAGCCUGAGCCGCCAGACCAGGCGGAACCCGCAAGGCCUGGGGAGCGGUUGGCUGCAGGGCUAUGGAAACGGCGCUGGCUUUGCUGGUCUCGCUUCCUUGUUUCCAGUGCCCAAGACGAGGAUGAUGACAGCUCCCAUGGAAUUUACUUAAAGAGUUAUUCAGAGAGUAAAUAUUCCUUCUUGUCUGGCCUAGUGCAUCUGUAUUUGAAUAAUGUAUCAUCUGAGUCAACACGGCCUUCUGUGCUCUGCGCCGAGCCUCUGCCGCGUUGCAUAGCUCAAGCUAAUGAGACGAUGGAAAUUCUGUGAUAAUCACUUCAUGAUGUCUGUGAGUCAAACCGUGACACUGUAUGCCUUACACCUACAUGCUGGAUGUCAGAGAUAUCUCCGUGAAACUGGAAGAAAAAAAAUAAGAGUCCUCCGUGGCGUAAGUGGGGACACGGCCUAGAGAGAAGACUCCUUUCGUUGUCCACAAAGACGUGGGUUUUGACAUCUGUGGAGGUGGAAUUCUGUCCAGUCACACGUAUGGUGUGGAACACAGGGGAAUUCAAGAGCGAGGUCUGGGCUGGGAUGGAGACGUGGGGGCUGAGCAGAGCCGGGGAGAGGAUGAUAUGGUGUGGGGAGAGGAGAGAGAGGGGGAAUAAAAUAAACAUUCAUUAAAAUGUUUUAAAUGAAAAAAAAAAAAACUUAUUAGUAAUCACCUCCUUUAACACGUGAAUUUUGGGGGAUGCAACUCCAUCUAUAACGGAAGGUCUGGGGUGGGGGCCUGAGAUCCUGUGCUUCUGCAGAGGCCCCCAGGGGAUGCCCGUGCUGGGUCUGUGGACCACAGCAAGCAGUGAGGCUCAUAGAGGUGAGCUAGGCGGGAUCGCUCAGUCACUCAGUCGAGUCCGACUCCUGGCGACCCUGUGGACAGUGCCCACCAGGCUCCUCUGUCCAUGGGAUUUCCCAAGCAAGAACACUGGAGUGGGUUGCUAUUUCCUCCUCCAGGGAGAAGUUACUUUCUCUCCAAAUGUUUUGUGACCCCAUGGGCUGUAGCUCAACAGAUUCUUCUGUCCAUGGAGUUCUUCAGGCAAGAAUGCUAGAGUGGGUUGCCAUUCCCUUCUCCAGGGGGAUCUUCCUGACCCAGGGAUCGAACUCAGGUCUCUCGUGUUGCAGGCAGAAUCUUUACCGUUGAGCCAUGGGGUUAGGCCGGUCACUCUGGAAACAUCAGCUGUGGCCCAUUUGAAGCAUCCCGUGGGAGCAGGUUAGGAAUGCAGGUUUGUAGGCCCACCCAGAUUUAAUGGCGUGGAGACUCCAGAGCAUUCAUGCACGGUUCAGCCACGUGUCUCAUCCCCACCGUUCACUUCCCGCCUUAACCUCAGCGACGUCAGAUUCCCCAGGUCACCGUAGUCUCCGCGUGGAUGGCGCCUGCAGCCCUUGAGAAGCUGGAAACGGGGAUGCGGAGGCCUGAUGGAGACCUGGUUUCCUGUGAAGUCGGUUCCGAGCAUGGGAUGGUGGCACGCGCUCCAGUGGGGGUGCAGUGGGCUGCGGCCCCUCCCAGAAGGCCUCGGCUCUCCCCGCUGGGGUGUUUCACGGUCUGCCCGCGGCAG